rnacentral:rRNA from 1 species
AUUGAACGCUGGCGGCAGGCUUAACACAUGCAAGUCGAGCGGAGAUGAGGUGCUUGCACCUUAUCUUAGCGGCGGACGGGUGAGUAAUGCUUAGGAAUCUGCCAUUUAGUGGGGGACAACAUUCCGAAAGGAAUGCUAAUACCGCAUACGUCCUACGGGAGAAAGCAGGGGAUCUUCGGACCUUGCGCUAAAUGAUGAGCCUAAGUCGGAUUAGCUAGUUGGUGGGGUAAAGGCCUACCAAGGCGACGAUCUGUAGCGGGUCUGAGAGGAUGAUCCGCCACACUGGGACUGAGACACGGCCCAGACUCCUACGGGAGGCAGCAGUGGGGAAUAUUGGACAAUGGGGGAACCCUGAUCCAGCCAUGCCGCGUGUGUGAAGAAGGCCUUAUGGUUGUAAAGCACUUUAAGCGAGGAGGAGGCUACUGAGACUAAUACUCUUGGAUAGUGGACGUUACUCGCAGAAUAAGCACCGGCUAACUCUGUG